rnacentral:rRNA from 1 species
UACAGAGGUCCCAAGCGUUACUGAGAAUCACUGGGUUUAAAGGGUGCGUAGGUGGUCCGUUAAGUCAGUUGUGAAAUCCCCGGGCUCAACCCGGGAAAUGCUUCUGAUACUGGCGGACUUGAGGCCAGUAGGGGUCACUAGAACUGACGGCGGAGCGGUGAAAUGCGUAGAUAUCGUCAGGAAUGCCGGUGGUGAAGACGGGUGACUGGGCUGGUUCUGACACUGAGGCACGAAAGCGUGGGGAGCGAACAGG